GAAAUUCGUCGCUCUAAAUGCUUCAAAUUUGAGCUCCGGUUCCCUUUUACCAAUUGGGUUUUCUUCGCCUUGCCGUAAAUCUGCACUUUCACUUCAACGCCGGCGGGUCCACGUUACCAGGGCUUCCGUUGCUCUAGAACAGCAAGCUCAAACUAAGGUCGCUGUCAUCAGAGUUGGAACACGAGGAAGCCCCCUAGCUCUUGCCCAAGCUUAUGAGACUCGAGAAAAGCUAAUAGCCUCGUUUCCUGACCUGGCUGAAGAGGGAGCCAUUGAGAUAGUAAUAAUAAAAACCACAGGUGAUAAGAUAUUAAGUCAGCCUCUUGCAGAUAUUGGUGGAAAAGGGUUGUUCACAAAAGAAAUAGACGAAGCCCUCAUCAAUGGCGAUAUUGAUAUUGCUGUCCACUCAAUGAAAGAUGUGCCCACAUAUCUGCCAGAGAAGACUAUCUUACCGUGCAACCUUCCACGUGAAGAUGUGAGGGAUGCAUUCAUUUCUUUAACUGCAGGUUCCCUGGCUGAACUUCCAUCAGGAAGCACAAUUGGUACUGCUUCACUGAGGAGAAAGUCCCAGAUUCUCCACCGCUAUCCCUCACUCAAUGUGUUGGAGAAUUUCAGAGGCAAUGUCCAGACAAGGUUGAAGAAACUGAAUGAGGGAGUAGUUCAAGCUACAUUAUUGGCACUGGCAGGGCUUAAGCGUCUGAAUAUGACAGAAAAUGUAUCAUCGAUCCUUUCUAUAGAGGAUAUGCUACCAGCUGUUGCUCAGGGUGCCAUUGGUAUUGCCUGCAGAAGUGAUGACGAGACAAUGGCCAACUACAUUGCUGCUUUAAAUCAUGAAGAAACCAGAUUAGCAAUAGUUUGUGAGAGAGCAUUUUUGACGACCUUGGAUGGGUCUUGUCGCACCCCAAUUGCUGGCUAUGCCUGUCGAGGUGAAGAUGGAGAUUGUAUUUUUAAAGGAUUAGUUGCCUCUCCAGAUGGAACGCGAGUUAUUGAAACCUCUAGAAAGGGACCUUAUACGUCUGAAGACAUGAUACGGAUGGGUGAAGAUGCUGGCCAGGAACUACUUUCGAAAGCAGGUCCAGGAUUUUUUGGCAACUGAGUAAAGCUUAUGCUCUUAUGGUCGACCUCUGCCUAUGAAAAAUGCAGAGAUGUAUCGAAUAACAGGGAUAGAGAUCGGAAUUUUAUAUUUCACCCCUACUAUAGGAUUAUGAGUCUACUUAUCCUUGUAACUGUAUCGGCAAUAGAAUUUGAAUACUUUGUAUGUUAGUGUAGCAUUUCCACUUCAAUUUGGAGUGUAUCCGAGGAAUGGUGAAUGUUUGCAGAUUUGUAGAAAAGUUGUACUGGCGGAUUUGGAUUGUUUUUAAUCACUGUGAGUAAUUUGUGCAACUGUUGUAAGCUAACGAAAGAGUAUUUCAUCGUUGGCUUAAUUUAUGCAAGGGGUUUGGUCCAAAUGGAA
rnacentral:misc_RNA from 1 species